CCUCGCGGGUGCACCGCCGAC
rnacentral:siRNA from 1 species